GCAGCCGUGGCCUACUGGUUAGGGCUUCGGGGCUUGUAACCGAAGGGUUGCCGGUUCGAUCCCCGACCCGGUGGGA
rnacentral:tRNA from 1 species